AGUGGUUACUGAUGGUUUCCAAUAAACUGUUGCUGAUUAAAAAUAUGUUAUGUGCAACACAUGUACUCAACUGUGUAAUGCAAUUUUUACGUGAAUCAGUUAAUCAAGUACGCAAAUACACUUUCUUUUAAAUAUCAAAAA